CAUGUACUGGCGAUCGACUCGGAAGAUCCCUCGCUAGAUCGUUUUGCGUAUGGCAUUAUGAGGGGAAACGUAUGCUCGUCAUGUUUGAUCCCUGGACGCGAAAGGUCCCCUUGAUACAGGUCUUCAAAAAAGUGCGGCGGGAGUACAUUGAUAUUGUUGAACUAUAUGGGGACGCUUUAGAGUCGGGUUGUUUGGGAUCGCCUCCCAAAGUCGGUGGGAAACUUCAUCUAAAACUUAAUAUUGGAACGAGACCGAAUACAAACAAGUACUGGGGAGGAAAGUUGCAAAGCACUUUGAAAAAAAAGUUAAAGAGCACGUGAAACCGGUAAGGUGGAAACGGAUAAAGUCCGCGGAUCAGUCAAUUAUUCAUUUACAUUAUUUUUGUGUUGCGACCUCUGAGCUGCCGAUUGGGACAGAGGGAAACCCCAUAAUUUUUUGUGGCGCAUUUAGGUGUUUGGUGCUUGGGGGUGUUUGAGGCAGAUUGGUAUCCCCCGUUUUGAGGCCAGCUUGCUGGUACCCACUCGGUGUUAGCCUUUAUUGUUUUGCGUCAUAUGAUUAUGGCUCACGUGUAUUUAUUGGACAGAUCUCGAUGUAAAUUACGGUCGCAUGCGACACGUGCUUUUCAAUUAGUUCGGUCCAGUUAAUGCUCUCGUACUCGUUCCCCAUGUAAAAGCCGGUCAUCUAUCCGACCCGUCUUGAAACACGGACCAAGGAGUUUAUCGUGUGCGCAAGUUUUUGGGUGUUAAAAACUUAAAAAGCGAAAUGAAAGUAAAUGACUCUUUAGAGUCUGAUGUGCGAUCUUGUAAAAAAGUGUAGCAUGGCCCCAAUCCCUAACUGAUCAACAGUACGGUGGCGGAGAGCGUACGCGGUGAGACCCGAAAGAUGGUGAACUAUUCUGAGCAGACGAGCAGAGGAACUCUGUGAGUCGAGCGAUCUGACGUGCAAUCGAUCGUCUGACUGGUAUAGGGCGA
rnacentral:rRNA from 1 species